UUCUUGUCUUUCAGAAGAGGGCAAGGCCAUGGAAACUCUGAAGAUCCAUUUAAACUCCAACAUCUAAUACUUUUCAGUUUAUAGUGAAGCUGAUGAAGACCCUCAUCCUAGGAGGAUACCCACCACCACCCAGUAAUCACCCUGGAAUCUGCCACAUGUGAUGUUUGCCUUCCCUUCACCGUGCAACAGGUGCUUCUCUCCCAGCUGGUCCUGAGGGCUGGACACAAGAACCUGCAUAUUCAUUGUGGAGCUGUGUGCUGGACCCAAUGAGUCUGAUGGAUAGGAAGCAUGUGGGGCUCAGUCACACAGGGGAUCCAGAUGUUAUGUAUCAAGUGGAUCAUGACCAGGCACUGAGACCUGC